rnacentral:rRNA from 1 species
GACGUAGGAGGCGAGCGUUAUCCGGAUUCACUGGGCGUAAAGCGCAUGUAGGCGGAUGUCUAAGUCGUGUGUUAAAGCCCCUGGCUCAACUGGGGGAGGUCAUGCGAGACUGGAUGACUUGAGGGCAACAGAGGCACGUGGAACUCCCGGUGUAGCGGUGGAAUGCGUAGAGAUCGGGAAGAACACCGGUGGCGAAGGCGGUUCUCUGGGCCUUACCUGACACUGAGGAGCGAAAGCGUGGGAGCGAACAGG